rnacentral:rRNA from 1 species
CCUACGGGAGGCAGCAGUGAGGAAUAUUGGUCAAUGGACGAGAGUCUGAACCAGCCAAGUAGCGUGAAGGAUGACUGCCCUAUGGGUUGUAAACUUCUUUUAUAUGGGAAUAAAACGUUCCACGUGUGGGAUUUUGUAUGUACCAUAUGAAUAAGGAUCGGCUAACUCCGUGCCAGCAGCCGCGGUAAUACGGAGGAUCCGAGCGUUAUCCGGAUUUAUUGGGUUUAAAGGGAGCGUAGGUGGAUUGUUAAGUCAGUUGUGAAAGUUUGCGGCUCAACAGUAAAAUUGCAGUUGAAACUGGCAGUCUUGAGUACAGUAGAGGUGGGCGGAAUUCGUGGUGUAGCGGUGAAAUGCUUAGAUAUCACGAAGAACUCCGAUUGCGAAGGCAGUUCACUGGACUGCAACUGACACUGAGGCUCGAAAGUGUGGGUAUCAAACAGGAUUAGAUACCCGUGUAGUC